rnacentral:rRNA from 1 species
AGAGUUUGAUCCUGGCUCAGGAUGAACGCUAGCGGCAGGCCUAACACAUGCAAGUCGAACGGUAACAGGAAUUAGCUUGCUAAUUUGCUGACGAGUGGCGCACGGGUGCGUAACGCGUAUACAAUCUACCUUUUGCUGAGGGAUAGCCCAGAGAAAUUUGGAUUAAUACCUCAUGGUAUUAUUGAUAGGCAUCUAUUAAUAAUUAAAGGUUACGGCAAAAGAUGAGUAUGCGUCCCAUUAGCUAGUUGGUGAAGUAACGGUUCACCAAGGCAACGAUGGGUAGGGGUCCUGAGAGGGAGAUCCCCCACACUGGUACUGAGACACGGACCAGACUCCUACGGGAGGCAGCAGUGAGGAAUAUUGGACAAUGGGCGAGAGCCUGAUCCAGCCAUGCCGCGUGCAGGAAGACUGCCCUAUGGGUUGUAAACUGCUUUUAUACAGGAAGAAUAAGCCUUACGUGUAAGGUGAUGACGGUACUGUAAGAAUAAGGACCGGCUAACUCCGUGCCAGCAGCCGCGGUAAUACGGAGGGUCCGAGCGUUAUCCGGAAUUAUUGGGUUUAAAGGGUCCGUAGGCGGAUGAUUAAGUCAGGGGUGAAAGUUUGCAGCUCAACUGUAAAAUUGCCUUUGAUACUGGUCAUCUUGAGUUGUAUUGAAGUAGGCGGAAUAUGUAGUGUAGCGGUGAAAUGCAUAGAUAUUACAUAGAACACCAAUUGCGAAGGCAGCUUACUAAGUACUAACUGACGCUGAUGGACGAAAGCGUGGGUAGCGAACAGGAUUAGAUACCCUGGUAGUCCACGCCGUAAACGAUGGAUACUAGCUGUUCGGGACCUUGAGUUCUGAGCGGCUAAGCGAAAGUGAUAAGUAUCCCACCUGGGGAGUACGUUCGCAAGAAUGAAACUCAAAGGAAUUGACGGGGGCCCGCACAAGCGGUGGAGCAUGUGGUUUAAUUCGAUGAUACGCGAGGAACCUUA